UACGUAGGGGGCGAGCGUUGUCCGAAGUUACUGGGCGUAAAGCGCGCGUAGGCGGUCAUUUAAGUCUGAGGUGAAAGGUUCAGCGCUCAACGUGAACAGUGCCUUGGAUACUGGGUGACUUGAGUUAGGGAGAGGGUAGCGGAAUUCCUGGUGUAGCGGUGAAAUGCGUAGAUAUCAGGAGGAACACCGGUGGCGAAGGCGGCUACCUGGCCUAUAACUGACGCUGAGGUGCGAAAGCGUGGGGAGCGAACGGG
rnacentral:rRNA from 1 species